rnacentral:snRNA from 1 species
UUCACUUGAGUCGCCUUCUAACGUCUCCCAGUCUGUUCUUUUCAGUUUAACCCCUGAAACGCCACUACGGUGGCAUUCUGAUUAAACGGAUUUUUGAAACUGGCUGGUUGGUUCUGGGCUUGCUCAGGCCAACUGGCACGGUGUCGCCAGUAUCGCACUAUCUCUGGCUGACGCGACCCUUC